rnacentral:sRNA from 2 species
UUCUCUUUGAAAUAAGCGAGGCGCUUAUGCAAAAACUGUUUUCUAAAAAUAUCGAAAGAUAUUCAUGGAAAAAAGGGGCUGUCAUACAGUUGGCUUUCUUUAAGUUAGCUCAAUUUCACCUUUAUAUUGCAUCGUGUUAAAGCGCCAAGUCAAUAAAUG